AUUAAACGCUGGCGGCAUGCCUUACACAUGCAAGUCGAACGGCAGCACGGGGGCAACCCUGGUGGCGAGUGGCGGACGGGUGAGUAAAGCAUCGGAACGUAUCCUGGAGUGGGGGAUAACGUAGCGAAAGUUACGCUAAUACCGCAUAUUCUGUGAGCAGGAAAGCAGGGGAUCGCAAGACCUUGCGCUCUGGGAGCGGCCGAUGUCGGAUUAGCUAGUUGGUGGGGUAAAGGCCUACCAAGGCGACGAUCCGUAGCGGGUCUGAGAGGAUGAUCCGCCACACUGGGACUGAGACACGGCCCAGACUCCUACGGGAGGCAGCAGUGGGGGAAUUUUGGGACAAUGGGCGGAAGCCUGAUCCAGCCAUGCCGCGUGAGUGAAGAAGGCCUCGG
rnacentral:rRNA from 1 species